rnacentral:antisense_RNA from 1 species
ACCCAGUUAUUAAACAUUACCAGCACAACAUUGGCUUCUUAUUCCUCAGUUUACCAGGCUGUUACUCAAAAUUCACUUUCCAGCCCUGCUUUGGAGCAGUUGGGAACUUCAGCAUUUUGAUCCACCUUUCUGGAGCCACCUCAUGUGAAAGAUGGAUGAGACCUUCGUCAGCAAACCUGUCUACGUAGGAGCUGGUAUGAGGAUCACACAAUGCAAGCAAAUAAAAUGAGAAAAGAUGAUUCAACAAGAGGCUUCACUGAUUUACUGUUUAUUUAACUGCUUUGACCAAAGUGCUUGGUUCUUAUAUGAAUAAGAAAGGGGAUGAGUUAUCCACCAGAAUGAAAGUUAUAUUCUGGUUUGAAGCUUCUGCUAUCAGAUAAUAUAGUUUUCUAUAGUGUGGAAGAACAGCAUCAUCUUCAAGCAAGGUGGACUUAAGCAUGGACAGAACUGUGUUUCUCACCCAGGAGGAGGUAUGAAAGUUUUCAAGACGCCUACAAGUGGAAAAUGCACUCCUCCCAGCCAAAUCAAGCUUCGCCAGAUUCCUUACAGCUGUGUGCAGUGAAAUGACUAAUGAAAGAGCCCUCUGCUGCUGGUGGAACUUUCACAUAUGGCACUGUUAUGCCACUCAGCAGGACCCGACCCUGGUAUUUACAUAUUGGAUGUCACCCCAAAAGCCCCUGACCAGGGGGUUUCCGGGAUGUAAUAAGAAUGCCACUCUGGGCUUUGGAAGGUGCACCGUAUGCACACCCAUACUAUAGGGCAGGGGUUAGCAUUUCAGACCCCUGUUCCUCCCUUGACAAGCAAGUGCUUUUCUCCAGGGAAGACGUUCAGGUUCAUUCAUAGAUCCAUUGGUGCCGUGGGCAGCUCAGUAACAAUAGCUCUGCUGCCUACCAGCUGCUGGUGGAGGUGUUGAGAAUACCUAAUGAGGAAGUCAGGGCCCCUGCGUGCUUCAGCAGAGCUGGAUGCCUGGCAUGGCAAUCAAUGGACACAAACCUUUGGAUAAUUUCCGUCCUUGGCGGU